AAGCAUCCUUAGAAAACCCCUCAGUCGCUUCUGUAGCUUCUGGGACAAGAAAGGGUGCAAGAUCAAACUUAGAAUCAUCCAAAGCUGAGAGCAGAGUCACUGUAGCUCUUUGCUAUUUCACCUCUAAGACAGAA
ensembl:snoRNA